rnacentral:rRNA from 1 species
AUUGAACGCUGGCGGCAUGCUUUACACAUGCAAGUCGAACGGUAACAGGCCGCAAGGUGCUGACGAGUGGCGAACGGGUGAGUAAUGCAUCGGAACGUGCCCAGUCGUGGGGGAUAACGCAGCGAAAGCUGUGCUAAUACCGCAUACGAUCUGUGGAUGAAAGCGGGGGACCGAAAGGCCUCGCGCGAUUGGAGCGGCCGAUGUCAGAUUAGGUAGUUGGUGGGGUAAAGGCUCACCAAGCCAACGAUCUGUAGCUGGUCUGAGAGGACGACCAGCCACACUGGGACUGAGACACGGCCCAGACUCCUACGGGAGGCAGCAGGGGGGAAUUUUGGACAAUGGGCGAAAGCCUGAUCCAGCCAUGCCGCGUGCAGGAUGAAGGCCUUCGGGUUGUAAACUGCUUUUGUACGGAACGAAAAGACUCUUUCUAAUAAAGAGGGUCCAUGACGGUACCGUAAGAAUAAGCACCGGCUAACUACGUGCCAGCCGCCGCGGUAAAAC